rnacentral:rRNA from 1 species
AUGCAAGUCGAGCGAAGCUUUUCAGUAGUUUACUACAGAAAAUGACUGAGCGGCGAACGGGUGAGUAACGCGUGAGCAAUCUACCUUAGUUACAGGGAUAGCCCGAGGAAACUCGGAUUAAUACCUGAUAUUCUUUAUAUUUCGCAUGAAAUUAAAAGGAAAGGUCAGCCGAACUAAGAUGAGCUCGCGUUCUAUCAGCUAGUUGGUGAGGUAAAAGCUCACCAAGGCUACGACGGAUAGCUGGUCUGAGAGGACGAUCAGCCACACUGGGACUGAGACACGGCCCAGACUCCUACGGGAGGCUGCAGCAGGGAAUAUUGCGCAAUGAGCGAAAGCUUGACGCAGCGACACCGCGUGUGGGAUGACGGAUCUAGGUUUGUAAACCACUUUCAGGAGGGAAGAAAAUGACGGUACCUCCACAAGAAGCCCCGGCCAACUACGUGCCAGCAGCCGCGGUAAUACGUAGGGGGCGAGCGUUGUCCGGAUUUAUUGGGCGUAAAGAGCUCGUAGGCGGUUCAACAAGUCGGUCGUGAAAGUUCAGGGCUCAACCCUGAAAUGUCGAUCGAUACUGUUGUGACUAGGAUACGGUAGAGGUGAGUGGAAUUCCGAGUGUAGCGGUGAAAUGCGUAGAUAUUCGGAGGAACACCAAUUGCGAAGGCAGCUCACUGGGCCGCUAUCGACGCUGAGGAGCGAAAGCUAGGGGAGCAAACAGGAUUAGAUACCCUGGUAGUCCUAGCUGUAAACGAUGGAUACUAGACGUAGGAACUGGAUUGACGGUUUCUGUGUCGCAGCUAACGCGUUAAGUAUCCCGCCUGGGGAGUACGGUCGCAAGACUAAAACUCAAAGGAAUUGACGGGACCCCGCACAAGCGGCGGAGCAUGCGGCUUAAUUCGAUGAUACCCGUAGAACCUUACCUGGACUUGACAUAUAGGGUCUAGCUAUAGAGAUAUAGUGUGCAUUAGCGCCCUAUACAGGUGGUGCAU